rnacentral:rRNA from 1 species
UGGCCGUAAACGAUGUGGACUUGGUGUUGGAAUGGCUCCGAGCUGCUCCAGUGCCGAAGGGAAGCUGUUAAGUCCACCGCCUGGGAAGUACGGUCGCAAGACUGAAACUUAAAGGGAAUUGGCGGGGGAGCACAACAACGGGUGGAGCUUGCGGUUUAAUUGGAUUCAACGCCGGAAAUCUUACCGGGACCGACAGCAACAUGAAGGCCAGGCUGAAGACUUUGCCGGAUUAGCUGAGAGGAGGUGCAUGGCGUAGUCGUGU